GUGGGGAAUUUUGGACAAUGGGGGAAACCCUGAUCCAGCGACGCCGCGUGAAGGAUGAAGGCCUUCGGGUUGUAAACUUCUUUUGGAGGGGACGAAUAAAUUGACGGUACCCUCAGAAAAAGCCACGGCUAACUACGUGCCAGCAGCCGCGGUAAUACGUAGGUGGCGAGCGUUACUCGGAAUUACUAGGCGUAAAGCGUAUGUAGGUGGUUAGAUAAGUCUAUGGUGAAAUUUCCUGGCUUAACUGGGAAGGGACAUAGAUACUAUCUGGCUUGAGUGUGGGAGGGGGAGACGGAAUUCCUGGUGUAGCGGUGAAAUGCGUAGAUAUCAGGAGGAACACCGAUGGCGAAAGCAGUCUCCUGGCCCAAUACUGACACUGAGGUACGAAAGCUAGGGUAGCAAACAGGAUUAGAAACCCCAGUAGUCC
rnacentral:rRNA from 1 species